rnacentral:rRNA from 1 species
CCUACGGGUGGCUGCAGUGAGGAAUAUUGGUCAAUGGCCGGAAGGCUGAACCAGCCAAGCCGCGUGAAGGACGAAGGUGCCAAGCAUUGUAAACUUCUUUUGUCAAGGGACAAAAUCAGGCUCGAGAGCCUGACCGAGGGGACUUGUAGAAAACGCAUCGGCUAACUCCGUGCCAGCAGCCGCGGUAAUACGGAGGAUGCGAGUGUUAUCCGGAUGUAAUGGGGUUAAAGGGUGCGUAGGCGGACUGUUAAGUCAGCGGUAAAAGCCCGGGGCUCAACCCCGGCGAGCCGUUGAAACUGGCUGUUUUGAGAUGUCGAGAGGUAUGCGGAAUGCGCAGUGGAGCGGUGAAAUGCUUAGAGAUUGCGCAGAACUCCGAUUGCGAAGGCAGCAUACCGGCGGCGAUAUGACGCUGAGGCACGAAAGCGUGGGUAUCGAACAGGAUUAGAUACCCGUGUAGUC